rnacentral:rRNA from 1 species
CGGACAUAUCGAGGAUUGACAGACAGUUACCAUGCCCUUUCGAAAGGAGUCAGGUUUUAAACCUAAUGGCUCUUUCAUGAUUAUAUGAUAGGUGGUGCAUGGCCGUUCUUAGUUCGUGGAGUGAUCUGUCUGCUUAAUUGCGUUUCAAAUUUUUAUUUGAGGACCAGGUUUUGGUUUGGGUAGUGGUCCUACGAUGACUGUGAACUGUCAUGUCUUCGGAUGUGCGACUAUCGGUCUAGGAUCGCAUCUCAGCCCCUGGGACUCUUUUGAACGCAACGGACGUGAUUGCAACCCCUUGUUGAGAUUAGAGGAGUCUCGAUAUUCAUUGGCCAAACUUACCGCUUCGAGCUUGCUCGUGCAGUUUUGUUAGCCGGUGGAUAAACUCGGGGGACUGCUGACUAUAACCAUUUCUCAAAACAGAGGAAGGUUGCGGCAAUAACAGGUCUGUGAUGCCCUCAGAUGU